AGCAGAAGCCGGGCGCCGCUGGCUGCGCGCUGCUCGCCCGGGAUGCGCUCCCUCCCGCAGCCCCGGUUCCAGGGCUUGGGCGCGGCGCAGCCCCAUGGCAGGUAGCGGCGGCCUGGGCGGCGGGGCCGGGGGCGGCCAGGGCGCGGGGGCCUGGCACGGGGCCGCGCUGCGGGGGCCGCGGGCGGCGCUGGUGCUGGGCGCGCUGGCGCUGGGCGCCUACUGCCUCUGCACCCUCCCCGGCCGCGGCCCGCCGGCCGCCCGCGCCCCCCUGCCGGCCCCCGCGCCCGCCGAGCCGCUCCGCGCUGUCCGCAGCCCGGGGGCGCCAGGCCUGCCGGUGGCCAGCGGCCCGGGACGCCAGCGCUUUCCGCAGGCGCUCAUCGUGGGCGUGAAGAAGGGCGGCACGCGCGCCCUGUUGGAGUUCUUGCGGCUGCACCCCGACGUCCGCGCGCUCGGCUCUGAGCCCCACUUCUUCGACAGGUGCUACGAGCGCGGCCUCGCCUGGUACCGGAGCCUGAUGCCACGCACCCUGGAUGGGCAGAUCACCAUGGAGAAAACCCCUAGCUACUUCGUGACUCGGGAGGCUCCUGGCCGCAUCCACGGCAUGUCCCCGGACACGAAGCUGAUCGUGGUGGUGCGGAACCCUGUGACCCGGGCCAUCUCCGACUAUGCCCAGACGCUCUCCAAGACGCCGGGCCUGCCCAGUUUCCGUGCCCUGGCCUUCCGCCAUGGCCUGGGCCCCGUGGACACGGCCUGGAGCGCUGUGCGCAUCGGCCUGUACGCCCAGCACCUGGACAACUGGCUGCGCUUCUUCCCCUUGUCCCGCUUCCUGUUCGUCAGCGGGGAGCGCCUGGUCAGCGACCCGGCGGGAGAGCUCGGCCGCGUCCAGGACUUCCUGGGCCUCAAAAGGGUGGUCACGGACAAGCACUUUUACUUCAACGCCACCAAGGGCUUCCCCUGCCUCAAGAAGGCCCAGGGGAGCAGCCGCCCACGCUGCCUGGGCAAAUCCAAGGGCCGGCCCCACCCGCGGGUGCCCGAGGCUGUGGUCCAGCGCCUGCGGGACUUCUACCGGCCCUUUAACCGCAAGUUCUACCAGAUGACUGGCCAGGACUUCGGCUGGGACUGAGGAGGACAGGCCAGUCCUCAUGCUGCCUGGGGACACGCAGUAACCUUAAUUUAUGCCUGUCACCUGGCCGGAGCAGUCCGUGUACAGCUUCUUGGAAGUAGAGCUGUGGGAGCCACCUGUUUGUCUGGCUUUGGUGCCCAGAAGGCAGACUGGAAACAGUGAGCAGAGAGGGUGAGCCGGCUCCUUCCGGUCACCCCCCUCCCAGUGGAAACUGCCUGACCGCCAACGCCCAGAGCCAGGUGCCCAGCUGGGCCCCCAACACGCUGAGGGCAGAUGUGGUGGUCCUCCCAGCUGUGUGUGGGGGUGGGUCUCCGUGGGAGAGUCAUCGGCCUUUAAUUAAAGUCCCUAAAUUGUUUCCCCAGAUGCUGAGUGGUUUUCCAUGUUGGAAUGUUCCAGAUGGGACGAGAAGUGCUGAUUCAGUUACCUUCCUCCUGUUCUGCUCAGCGGAGUAGAAAGGGCCGGGGACUCCUCCUCCCCUCGUCCAAAGCCAGCCCGACUGGGAUGGGGCAGCUGGGAGUGGGGGGUCUUCCCCGGUCCCCGGGCCUUCGGGUCAUGGCUGGUACAAGGUGGGGGCCCACCAGGACUGGCAGGUGCGCCUGGGGGAGGACAGUCUUCUUACCCCGUGCCUUACACAGGCAGGCACUGGGAACCCUGUGCAGGCCCUGGCCUGAGGGUCCCCUGACCCUGGGGAGCUUCGGGACCUGGGUCUGCCCUCCCUGUUGGUCUGGCAGUAUUUCCCUAUCGUGAAUUUUCUUUCCAGAUGAGGAGAGGACCCAGACAGCACCCCGUCCUCCCCCAUGUCCUUGCAUCCACAGAGCCUGAGGGGGGCCUGGCUCCCUCCCUCCCCUGGAGGAGGUGCUGCCAGGAGCACAUCUGCAGCCACCUGCUGACUCUGUCCUCUUGUGAAGCAGUCCCUGCCUCCAGGGCUGGAGGGCCUGCUUGCUUCCCUCCAGGCUUCUCCAGGCUGCAGGGCAGUCCCAGGUGUCGGAGGGAAAAGUCUGGAAGGAGAGGUACCAUUCUGAGGUAGCACGUGUGACCCCUUUCACCCCAGGAGCAGGGGUGCUUUGGGGAGAAGCCUGGUCCUCCUGGUCCCCAUGGCUGGUCUCCAUAUCCCAGGGUGGACACUACUGGGACCUGUGCCCUCAGCCAGAUCCAGAGGCCCUUCCCAAACUCUAGACAGCCCCGUUCCUGGGAGCUUCUCGUUCCUAUUAAGGAGCUGCUGGUCUGAGCAGGUCCCCCUGCAUCGCUGCCAGGAUGGGCCCGGCAAAGCCUGCAGACCCUCAGUGCUUCCCUCUGCGUGGCCCUGGCGGCCUCUGGGACUCUGGAUGCCCUCCGUGCCUAUGGCAGCUGUCGGAGGGGCUGGGAACUUGAGGACGUCGUGAACCUUGUGGUUCAUUUCUGUGGGACUCUCCCUGUCUAGAAGUCUUCUUGUAAGUUGGCAAGGGCUGACUCCUGAAGACUCUGUCCUUGGGGCAAAGAGAGCGC